UGCUUAUAAUUUUUAUGGGUUGAUGUC
rnacentral:sRNA from 1 species